rnacentral:siRNA from 1 species
UGAAUCAGCUCCAGGUACGUAUAU